AGCGAACGCUGGCGGUAGGCUUAACACAUGCAAGUCGAGCGGGCACUCUCGGGUGCCAGCGGCGGACGGGUGAGUAACGCGAGGGAACGUGCCCUCUGGUUCGGAAUAACCCAGGGAAACUUGAGCUAAUACCGGAUACGCCCUUUUGGGGAAAGGCUUGCUGCCGGAGGAUCGGCCCGCGUCUGAUUAGCUAGUUGGUGAGGUAACGGCUCACCAAGGCGACGAUCAGUAGCUGGUCCGAGAGGAUGAUCAGCCACACUGGGACUGAGACACGGCGCAGACUCCUACGGGAGGCAGCAGUGGCGAAUAUUGGACAAUGGGCGCAAGCCUGAUCCAACCAUGCCGCGUGAGUUAUAAAGGCCUUAGGGUUGUAAAGCUCUUUUAUCCGGGACGAUAAUGACGGUACCGGAGGAAUAAGCCCCGGCUAACUUCGUG
rnacentral:rRNA from 1 species